rnacentral:rRNA from 1 species
CGAACGGGAAUUACUUUAUUGAAACUUCGGUGGAUUUAAUUUAAUUCUAGUGGCGGACGGGUGAGUAACGCGUGGGUAACCUGCCUUGUACAGGGGGAUAACAGUCAGAAAUGACUGCUAAUACCGCAUAAGCGCACAGGACCGCAUGGUCCAGUGUGAAAAACUCCGGUGGUAUAAGAUGGACCCGCGUUGGAUUAGCUAGUUGGUGGGGUAACGGCCUACCAAGGCGACGAUCCAUAGCCGGCCUGAGAGGGUGAACGGCCACAUUGGGACUGAGACACGGCCCAGACUCCUACGGGAGGCAGCAGUGGGGAAUAUUGCACAAUGGGGGAAACCCUGAUGCAGCGACGCCGCGUGAAGGAAGAAGUAUCUCGGUAUGUAAACUUCUAUCAGCAGGGAAGAAAAUGACGGUACCUGACUAAGAAGCCCCGGCUAACUACGUGCCAGCAGCCGCGGUAAUACGUAGGGGGCAAGCGUUAUCCGGAUUUACUGGGUGUAAAGGGAGCGUAGACGGAUGGACAAGUCUGAUGUGAAAGGCUGGGGCUCAACCCCGGGACUGCAUUGGAAACUGCCCGUCUUGAGUGCCGGAGAGGUAAGCGGAAUUCCUAGUGUAGCGGUGAAAUGCGUAGAUAUUAGGAGGAACACCAGUGGCGAAGGCGGCUUACUGGACGGUAACUGACGUUGAGGCUCGAAAGCGUGGGGAGCAAACAGG